UCCUUUCCAGUAACUGCCAUGGUAUGAAGCUGGUAUGAAGUUUGUUAUAAAACACAACAGAAGUGGUUCACAACAAGCAGUGCAGGAGGGCAGGUGGGCACAUGGGGAGAACGUGAAACAGAGGUUCUAGGAGCCCUGCUGGACCUCAUGUCACUGUUCCUUCAUAAAAGAGCCUUCAUGGAAGCAGUAAUGAUCUCCACUCCAGUGUCAAUGUCUUCUUGGACCUCACAUGGUCAUCUUCUGGAGCUAAAUCAGAAAUGUUAACUGAAAUCUCUAAAUCCAUGUUAGACUCCAAUUGCUAUUUAGUUUUAAAGAACUGUGAUUAGUAACAGCUUACUUUUUUUAACUCACCUGUUACUUCUCUGAAUAAUAUCAAUGUCCUAUUAGCUUUUAAGUAUAGCUAACUGAAUGAAUUUAAGCAAUUAAAAAAGUGAUUUAAAAAAAAUCUUUCCUUUCACAUUAAGAGAAAAAAGCUAAAGACAGCUAUUUUUCAGCUUGAAAAAUAUUGUCUUUUACAUUUCCUGAGGAGAGCUCUGUCAAAUGAAGAUACUUCGGUUUUUUUACACGCAGAGCUCAUUAAAGGCUUUUGUUUACCUUGAUGUUUCCUUGAAGACAGUGCUCUAUAUCCUUGCCAGAGGGAUCAUCAGAAAACAGUGCAAAUCCUGACUGAGCUGGUUUCCUCAUCCCUGUAUCUUGGUUCAGGGUGUUCAGAAAUUCCUCCACUGUGGUAGAGGCAUCAAACCCAACAACCUAAAAAAGUAGCCAAAAAGGAUUUUGCUAUCAAGCUUAUAUACCCCCCUUUCCAUAAAUUGAAAAUUUUGAAAUAUAAUACCUCUACAAUAACAUUGGGAUUGUAGGACCCAUUCUAUGCUCUGUGAAUAAGUUACUGAAACUUGUUGAAAAUUAAAAAUUUCCAGAAAGGAUCUGGAAAAGAUUUCCACAUAGCAAGUCAAUUUAGUGGAAUUUUACUCUAUCCAAAAAUUAUUAACUUCUCAGCAGAUUGUACCUUAUCUUACUUUGUUUACCAAAUCAAAUUCACUACCAAAAUGCUUCCAAAAGUAAUAUUUUUGGGUUUAUUUUCUUUGUUUAUAGUGGUUUCUUUGCACUUGUAGACUUGAAUUUCUGUUACAAAAUGUAUAUAACAGGUAUCAGUCUAGUAUCUGCGCUUUUUGUGACAAAUACCACUUGAAAAAUUAAGAAGACUACGAUUUCUUCCACUUUUCAAUACAGUGAUGAAACAAAUGAGAUCAGUUAGUAAUUUUUCAUCAUGUGCAACUUCAGAGGGAUAUUAGAUGGCAGAUCUAUUCUGGCAAAUUCAAAAUAUUUUACAAAUGUUGCUUUGUCAGCAGUACAUAGGUCAGUAAUAUACAGAGCCUUCUAAGUUUUACUUCCCCAAAUAUGAAUUUUUGUCCGUUGUUACUAGUAUUGAAGCAUUUUAGCAAGAGAUUGCAAAUGGCUUUUAUACAGAUACCAGUUGCUGAUGUUCACUUAAAUCUGUAUUGAGGGUGUUUUCCUGUAUUUGACUUGGUGAAAAAAUUUUACUCUUGGUAAAAAAUGUCUUGAAAAUCAAUCUUGGACUUCUGUUUUGUACUUCUCAGUGGCUAGCAUUAAAAUAAAAAUCUGCUGCAGAGAUGAA